rnacentral:rRNA from 1 species
AUUUGAAACUGGCAAGCUAGAGUCUCGUAAGGGGGGUAAAUUCCAGGUGUAGCGGUGAAAUGCGUAAGAUCUGGAGGAAUACCGGUGGCGAAGGCGGCCCCCUGGACAAACUGACGCUCAGGUGCAAAGCGUGGGGAGCAAACAGGAUUAGAUACCCUGGUAGUCCACGCUGUAAACGAUGUCAUUUGGAGGUUGUGCCCUUGAGGCGUGGCUUCCGGAGCUAACGCGUUAAAUCGACCGCCUGGGGAGUACGGCCGCAAGGUUAAAACUCAAAUGAAUUGACGGGGGCCCGCACAAGCGGUGGAGCAUGUGGUUUAAUUCGAUGCAACGCGAAAACCUUACCUACUCUUGACUCCAAGAACUUUCCAAGAUGGAUUGGUGCCUUCGGGAACUCUGAGACAGGUGCUGCAUGGCUGUCGUCAGCUCGUGUUGUGAAAUGUUGGGUUAAGUCCCGCAACGAGCGCAACCCUUAUCCUUUGUUGCCAGCGGUUCGGCCGGGAACUCAAAGGAACUGCCAGUGAUAAACUGGAGGAAGGUGGGGAUGACGUCAAGUCAUCUGGCCCUUACAGUAGGGCUACCCGUGCUACAAUGGCGUAUACAAAGAGAAGCACCUCGCGAGAGCA